GUGGGGAAUCUUCCGCAAUGGACGAAAGUCUGACGGAGCAACGCCGCGUGAGUGAAGAAGGGUUUCGGCUCGUAAAGCUCUGUUGUCGGGGACGAACGUGAGAUAUUUGAAUAAAGUGUCUUAAUGACGGUACCUGACGAGGAAGCCACGGCUAACUACGUGCCAGCAGCCGCGGUAAUACGUAGGUGGCAAGCGUUGUCCAGAAUUAUUGGGCGUAAAGGGAGCGCAGGCGGGAAGGUAAGUCGGUCUUAAAAGUGCGGGGCUCAACCCCGUGAUGGGAUCGAAACUAUCUUUCUUGAGUGCAGGAGAGGAAAGUGGAAUUCCUAGUGUAGCGGUGAAAUGCGUAGAUAUUAGGAGGAACACCAGUGGCGAAGGCGACUUUCUGGACUGUAACUGACGCUGAGGCUCGAAAGCCAGGGGAGCGAACGGGAUUAGAAACCCUUGUAGUCC
rnacentral:rRNA from 1 species